rnacentral:misc_RNA from 1 species
UAAGAUUUAAACCAUAACAAAUAGUGUCUCCCUUUCAAAAUUACGCGUUGUGAUACAAGGACAAAUAUUUUUAUCAAGAAAAUCUACUCAUACACAUAUUUCAUGACCCCUGUUUCAGGAUUGAAAGAAAACUACCUGCCUCAUCCAGAUUUGUUUAAGUAGUAAUCCUGUAGAAGAGACAAGACUACCCUGCACACAAUCUAGACAUGACCACCGCUUUAAUCAGGUUGGACUUGGCCGCAUCCAGCAAUGGAUCUGUCUGAAGAGCUCUGUCGAAGCAGAACUUGGCCUCCUCCCAUCGACCUUCUGCUACAAACACAAGACCGAGAUUGUUAAAUGAAGGAGCAUAGCCUGGCUGGAGUUCCAGAGACUUAGUAAACAUUGCUUUGGCACGUUCAUAUUGCUUUUGCUGCCGGUAGAGAUUUCCAAUAUUGCAAAAUAUUGCAUGUGCUUGUUCAGAUGCUGCAAAUGCCAAAGCCUGCUUAUAUACAUCUUCAGCUUGUGAUGAUUCCUCUGAUAAUUGAAGUGAGAUACCAAGAUUUGACCAUGCAUAACUGCAUUUUUUAAAUCGAGUGACUGCAACCUUGAGAUACUUCUGUGCUAUUUCAAACUGUCGGGAACAGAGACAAUGCAGGCCAAGUUGGUGCCAUGGCACCCCAUCAUCUGGGUCCUCUGCUAUUGCCUGUUUUAAACUGUAGAGAGCACACUCUUCCACAUCCACCAACUCAUCCUUUUCCGUUUCAAAUGCUGCUGCAAUCUCAUGCUGCGCCUUGUGCACCAUGGCAAGUCCUGCCCAAGCAAUGGGAAGUUCAAUUGGAACAGAAUCUCCUUCUCUCAAAAUUGAAGCCAUUUCAUUUCCAGCCCAGGAAAGCUGUUCACUGGGAUCCUGAGACCUUUCAGCAUCCUUGAUUCGGUGAACUGCUACAGCAUAUCGAGUAGACAUACAGUUGGGCUCCAAUUUUGCUGCCUUCUCCAAGCACUUGCUGGAACUUCUAUGGUCACCAGUCAAGUAAUAUGCAUUAGCAACAGUUGCCCAUAUAUGUGCUGCUUUCGGAUCAACUUUUAAUGCUGCAAGCAAACACUCCUUCGCAACAUUGACAGCUUCAAUCUGAUCUGAAGAAGCACCUUCACCAGCAUUUGCCCCAGCACCUGCGACAACUGAACCAUAUUUACAAAGAAGAAAGGCAGCAUAAUUAACAAAGGCAGCAGGAUG